AAUCAAGCUUUGAAGAGUGACGGCGGAAGCAUUUCUAAUAAAGCCCCUGACAUAUGCAUUGUGUAUAAGCUUCAUUUGGAGUGUGGCAGAUUGAUUAACCUUGUUGAUUGGUUAGAGGCUUUCUCAACAGUGGUGACGGCAGUUGAGGGACCAAAUGCAGAUGCAGCUUCCUCAGACCAGGUGGAUGAUAUCAUCCAUGCUCGUUUCAUUCGUGCUGUUUCUGAACUGGAACUCUUGGGCUUCAUAAAGCCCAGCAAGCAGAAAACAGACCACGUGGCACGGCUGACGUGGGGAGGCUGUUAACGUGCCACCAGGAUCUUAGUAAACCUGUUCUUU